AUGUGGGAACAGCACUGGCCCAGAAUUUUGGGGGUGGGCCUCACAGGGUCUCUUCCCCAGGCUGAAAGGCCCCAACACCCUCUGAGGAGCAGUUUGGAGGAGGGGCGCCGAGGCUGGGGCAAAUCUGCCUUAAUGUUUCAGAACGGCGAGGUGAUGGGACGCGGCAGAGAGGGCCUCCUGGUCAGGAUUCCUCCCAGGUGCUGCGGAUGGAGGCGUGGGGUAGCCUUGGAACCCCGUAGACUAUUUUCGAAUCCCAGCUCUGCCAGUAAAUAGCCUGUGACUUUGAGUAAGUGUUUUUAACCACCUUAAAGACGUUUCCUCUUCUGUAAAAUGGAAACACAAACUGUAGUGCC
rnacentral:lncRNA from 1 species